AGAGUUUGAUCCUGGCUCAGGACGAACGCUGGCGGCGCGCCUAACACAUGCAAGUCGAACGAGAGAGAGGGAGCUUGCUUCCUCGAUCGAGUGGCGAACGGGUGAGUAACGCGUGAGGAACCUGCCUCAAAGAGGGGGACAACAGUUGGAAACGACUGCUAAUACCGCAUAAGCCCACGACCCGGCAUCGGGAAGAGGGAAAAGGAGCAAUCCGCUUUGAGAUGGCCUCGCGUCCGAUUAGCUGGUUGGUGAGGUAACGGCCCACCAAGGCGACGAUCGGUAGCCGGACUGAGAGGUUGAACGGCCACAUUGGGACUGAGACACGGCCCAGACUCCUACGGGAGGCAGCAGUGGGGAAUAUUGCACAAUGGGGGAAACCCUGAUGCAGCGACGCCGCGUGGAGGAAGAAGGUCUUCGGAUUGUAAACUCCUGUUGUUGAGGAAGAUAAUGACGGUACUCAACAAGGAAGUGACGGCUAACUACGUGCCAGCAGCCGCGGUAAAACGUAGGUCACAAGCGUUGUCCGGAAUUACUGGGUGUAAAGGGAGCGCAGGCGGGCGAUCAAGUUGGAAGUGAAAUCCAUGGGCUCAACCCAUGAACUGCUUUCAAAACUGGUCGUCUUGAGUAGUGUAGAGGUAGGCGGAAUUCCCGGUGUAGCGGUGGAAUGCGUAGAUAUCGGGAGGAACACCAGUGGCGAAGGCGGCCUACUGGGCACCAACUGACGCUGAGGCUCGAAAGUGUGGGUAGCAAACAGGAUUAGAUACCCUGGUAGUCCACACCGUAAACGAUGAUUACUAGGUGUUGGGAGAUUGACCCUCUCAGUGCCGCAGUUAACACAAUAAGUAAUCCACCUGGGGAGUACGACCGCAAGGUUGAAACUCAAAGGAAUUGACGG
rnacentral:rRNA from 1 species